CCAGAGAGACCUCCAGCCCAGACUUAGCCAAUUUUCAGCUUCGUCCGUUUUCGCUCCGUUUUCGCUCGUUUUCGUUCGUUUGACCUCCAAUUCAUUUCAAAUCGAACCGAGACUCUCCAAACAUGUUUUCAAACAUGUUUUCAUCAUCUUUCCAUCCUCCCUAAUGCCGGAUUUAGCUCACGGCCCAACUUAGCCUUUCGGGUUCCGUUUCCGCGCCUACGCGCGCCGAAACGCCCGAUUGCUCCCGAAGUUCACCGAACUUCACCGGAACCAUUCAAAUAGCUCUCCAAUCGAAUGUACACCGUAACUUAAUAGUUUUAGAAGUUCGGUACCUUACAAUUCUGAUCUUAAAAAAAAUAAAUUACAACCAUUAGGAAAUAUUCAGAAAGUUAAUUCUAUAGUUGCAUGAGAAAUAACAAUAACCAUAUAAUGGCAUUUAUCAUAAAUGAAUUCUUCUUGCUAUUGAAGUAAAGGAAAAGUAUGACGCUAGCUAAUAUGUCAUGAUUCUACUAGGAAACUUGCAAACGUAACUUGUUCACUCUGUGAAGUGUCCCGAGGGUUUGGUAUCGGAUUGGUUUCAGUUUUAGUGACCGGUCGACAUAUCUGGAGAGUGUCGGACUAAGUCGGAGUCGUUUCUGUACGAAAUGGAUGCAGAAAUAGACUUGGCAUACUCAAAU
rnacentral:lncRNA from 1 species